rnacentral:rRNA from 1 species
GUCGAGUGCGCGUGCCGUAGCAAUACGGUAUGGCGCACGGCGCACGGGUGCGUAACACGUGGGCAAUCUGCCCUCCGGUGGGGAAUAACCCCGCGAAAGCGGGGCUAAUUCCGCAUAACACUCCCUGGACUUCGGUUCGGGGAUUCAAAGCAGUGAUGCGCCGGAGGAGGAGCCCGCGCCCGAUUAGCUAGUUGGUGAGGUAACGGCUCACCAAGGCAAUGAUCGGUAGCUGGUCUGAGAGGAUGGCCAGCCACACUGGAACUGAGACACGGUCCAGACUCCUACGGGAGGCAGCAGUGGGGAAUCUUGCGCAAUGGGCGAAAGCCUGACGCAGCGACGCCGCGUGGGGGAUGAAGCUUUUCGGAGUGUAAACCCCUUUCGACCGGGACGAAUGCCCGCAAGGGAGUGACGGUACCGGUAGAAGAAGCCCCGGCUAACUACGUGCCAGCAGCCGCGGUAAGACGUAGGGGGCCAGCGUUGUUCGGAAUUACUGGGUGUAAAGGGUUCGUAGGCGGUGUGGCAAGUCGGGAGUGAAAUUUCUGGGCUUAACUCAGAAGCUGCUUCCGAAACUGCUGUGCUAGAGUGCGGGAGAGGCGCGUGGAAUUGCAGGUGUAGCGGUGAAAUGCGUAGAUAUCUGCAGGAACACCCGUGGCGAAAGCGGCGCGCUGGACCGUUACUGACGCUGAGGAACGAAAGCUAGGGGAGCAAACAGGAUUAGAUACCCUGGUAGUCCUAG